GAGUGGGACUAAGCCAUGCGAGUUAACGUAGUAAUACGUGGCAUACGGCUCAGUAACACGUAGUCAACAUGCCCAGGGGACGUGGAUAACCUCGGGAAACUGAGGAUAAACCGCGAUAGGCCAUAAUUCCUGGAAUGGUUUAUGACUGAAACCUAUAUGGCCCCUGGAUUGGACUGCGGCCGAUCAGGCUGUUGGUGAGGUAAUGGCCCACCAAACCUGUAACCGGUACGGGCUCUGAGAGGAGAAGCCCGGAGAUGGGCACUGAGACAAGGGCCCAGGCCCUAUGGGGCGCAGCAGGCGCGAAACCUCUGCAAUAGGCGAAAGCCUGACAGGG
rnacentral:rRNA from 1 species